rnacentral:rRNA from 1 species
AUGCGAUAAGUAAUGUGAAUUGCAGAAUUCAGUGAAUCAUCGAAUCUUUGAACGCACAUUGCGCCCCCUGGCAUUCCGGGGGGCAUGCCUGUUCGAGCGUCAUUACACCACUCAAGCCUGGCUUGGUAUUGGGUGCCGCGGGAGACCGCGCGCCUUAAAGUCACCGGCUGGACCGUCCGUCUCCAAGCGUUGUGGCAACUAUCCGCUGACGAGACCCCGGGCGACCCGGCCGUUAAACUUCCCAUCAAAGGUUGACCUCGGAUCAGGUAGGGAUACCCGCUGAACUUAAGCAUAUCAAUAAGCGGAGGAAAAGAAACCAACAGGGAUUGCCCUAGUAACGGCGAGUGAAGCGGCAACAGCUCAAAUUUGAAAUCUGGCGCAAGCCCGAGUUGUAAUUUGUAGAGGAUGCUUCUGGGCAGCGGCCGGUCUAAGUCCCUUGGAACAGGGCGUCAUAGAGGGUGAGAAUCCCGUAUGCGACCGGCUGGCACCCGUCAC